CCUACGGGUGGCAGCAGUGAGGAAUAUUGGUCAAUGGACGAGAGUCUGAACCAGCCAAGUAGCGUGAAGGAUGACUGCCCUAUGGGUUGUAAACUUCUUUUAUAUGGGAAUAAAACGUUCCACGUGUGGGAUUUUGUAUGUACCAUAUGAAUAAGGAUCGGCUAACUCCGUGCCAGCAGCCGCGGUAAUACGGAGGAUCCGAGCGUUAUCCGGAUUUAUUGGGUUUAAAGGGAGCGUAGGUGGUUUGUUAAGUCAGUUGUGAAAGUUUGCGGCUCAACCGUAAAAUUGCAGUUGAAACUGGCAGUCUUGAGUACAGUAGAGGUGGGCGGAAUUCGUGGUGUAGCGGUGAAAUGCUUAGAUAUGACGAAGAACUCCGAUUGCGAAGGCAGUUCACUGGACUGCAACUGACACUGAGGCACGAAAGUGUGGGUAUCAAACAGGAUUAGAUACCCGAGUAGUC
rnacentral:rRNA from 1 species